rnacentral:rRNA from 1 species
AUACGGAGGGUCCAAGCGUUAUCCGGAAUCAUUGGGUUUAAAGGGUCCGCAGGCGGUCAAUUAAGUCAGAGGUGAAAGCCCAUCGCUCAACGAUGGAACUGCCUUUGAUACUGGUUGACUUGAGUUAUACGGAAGUAGAUAGAAUAAGUAGUGUAGCGGUGAAAUGCAUAGAUAUUACUUAGAAUACCGAUUGCGAAGGCAGUCUACCACGUAUAUACUGACGCUGAGGGACGAAAGCGUGGGGAGCGAACAGGAUUAGAAACCCUAGUAGUCC